CCUACGGGUUGCAGCAGUGGGGGAUAUUGCACAAUGGGGGAAACCCUGAUGCAGCGACGCCGCGUGUGGGAAGACGGUCCUCUGGAUUGUAAACCACUGUCCCCAGGGACGAAGAUGACGGUACCAGGGGAGGAAGCUCCGGCUAACUACGUGCCAGCAGCAGCGGUAAGACGUAGGGAGCGAGCGUUGUCCGUAAUUAAGGGGGGAAAAGGGAGCGUAGGCGGGCUUUUAAGUCAGCGGUAAAAAUUCGGGGCUCAACCCCGUCCGGCCGUUGAAACUGGGUGCCUUGAGUGGGCGAGAAGAAGGCGGAAUGCGUGGUGUAGCGGUGAAAUGCAUAGAUAUCACGCAGAACCCCGAUUGCGAAGGCAGCCUUCCGGCGCCCUACUGACGCUGAGGCACGAAAGUGCGGGGAUCGAACAGGAUUAGAUACCCCAGUAGUC
rnacentral:rRNA from 1 species